UACGUAGGGGGCAAGCGUUAUCCGGAUUUACUGGGUGUAAAGGGAGCGUAGGCGGCAUGGCAAGUCAGAUGUGAAAGCCCGGGGCUCAACCCCGGGACUGCAUUUGAAACUGUCAGGCUGGAGUGCAGGAGAGGUAAGUGGAAUUCCUAGUGUAGCGGUGAGAUGCGUAGAUAUUAGGAGGAACACCAGUGGCGAAGGCGGCUUACUGGACUGUAACUGACGUUGAGGCUCGAAAGCGUGGGGAGCAAACAGG
rnacentral:rRNA from 1 species